GUAAAUGCGCAACGUCCUGCAGGUACUUGCACACAACAGAAGAGAGGGAAAUUUAUUGUUGCUAAAGAUCGAAAUGGUGAUGAUGAUGUCGCGGUUUGUAUUCAACGUCAUGGAAAAUAUCAAUGGCAUGUGAUCAAAGGUACUAACAUCGUCUUUAUGUCUUAUGUCUUUUUUUUUUAUUUUCACACCAUGCAGUAUAUAGAGAAUAAUACAUGCAUGGUGCGCGGAAAUACCAGAUUUAUUUCGAGUGUUGAACAUGAUAUCUCACGAGUGAGCGCAGCGAACGAGUGAGAUAUCAUGUUCAACACGAGAAAUAGAUCUGGUAUUUCCAAGCACCCAUGUAUUUUUCUGUUUAUUAUAUAAACAAAAUUCAGUGAAAACAAUAACAUGUCCGUGGCAAUGCGUUUUACAACAAAUGAUAUUUUUACACGUAAAAAUAUCGUUUUUUUACGUGUGUUUAAAUACGAUAUUUCUCAGUGGCCAAAACCUCUAUAUAAUACUUAUGUUUAUAUAAUAAAACUUUUCAAUUCACAGUUUCUGCAUGUUAACGGCGUUUGUAAAGAUUAAAUGAAUAUAAUUUAUCUAGAUUCAUGUUCCUUAUAUGAAUCUGGGCCACAUUGUUUAUAUAUACUGUCCCUGAUAUCCUGCCUAUGACCUGCCUUUUACCUUCGAUUCGGCUGCUGCUCAGUUAGUUCGACCAUUGGAACCACAUCUCGGACUGUCGAAAGGUAAACGUUCUGGUAUAAUUUGUCGUUAAUGUCGCUGAUGCUGCUCUUUUUGUUUUUAAAGACCUUGAAGUGCUGACAUAUGAAUCAUGCAAACAAAUAUUGAUGAGUCCAAGGUAAAAUACAUGCAUAUACACUUACACACAUAAAUGGCUUUUAUUUCAUCACGUUACUCCCUAGCCUCUCACAACUAUUUUAAAAUAAAAACCAAGCUGGUUUACAGAAGGGGCGUAACUGCUAUACUAGUCCGUAACUAUACUAUUACAUCCACAACUUCAAAUACAAUUAUACCAUUGUUCCACAACAUGGACCCACUAUAUCUACAGCUUCGCUUGAGGAGAUUCGUUUUUGGUUUUGGUAGAGAUAUAGAUUAUAUCAGUUUCCAUUAAAUUGCGUAAAUUCAGUAUAAACAGAAAACUAUAAGUUAAAAAAUAUUUCGUUUAUCUUACAGCAACAAUGGAAAUGGUGUUUACCAAAUCAGUGUCGGGAACAAUAAAUUUAUCGACGUGUACUGUCAAAUGACUAA